rnacentral:rRNA from 1 species
UACAGAGGGUGCGAGCGUUAAUCGGAAUUACUGGGCGUAAAGCGCACGUAGUCGGCUUUGCAAGUCGGGUGUGAAAUCCCCGGGCUCAACCUGGGAACUGCAUCCGAGACUGCAUUGCUAGAGUAUGGGAGAGGGAAGCGGAAUUUCUGGUGUAGCAGUGAAAUGCGUAGAUAUCAGAAGGAACAUCAGUGGCGAAGGCGGCUUCCUGGACCAAUACUGACGAUCAGGUGCGAAAGCGUGGGGAGCAAACGGG